rnacentral:lncRNA from 1 species
AUAAAUAUGAUAAUGUGUACUUGGUAUGCUUUUGAAUAUAUGCACUAUGAAUACCAAGAAACCAUCCUUGGCAUAUAAAAUCAACUCAUGCUAGUAUGUACUUAAUCUCAAAAGACCUUGCCAUUGGCUUACUUAGAUUAUCUUCUGAAAGGUCAAAGUUUGCUAUGCAUGUUAACUAAGGAAACAAACAAGAAUCAAUUUCUAAAUCUAAAGAUGUUGUUUCCAACACUAAG